ensembl:lncRNA
GGCGGCGCCCUCAGACCGGCGGGCCGGGUCUCGUCUCCGCCCCCCGGUCGCCUCCGCCCCGAGCGCGGCUCUUCAGUUAUAGGUCCUUCUAGUUCUGCUACGCGGGACGCCACCUCAGCAUGGCCGGGUGACCAGAUGAGCGGUGCUGGGUCUGCACCCAGGAUCCGAACCAGCGAACCUCGGGUGCCAAAGCAGAGCGCGUGAACUUAAGCACUCGGCCACAGGGCCAGCCCCUAAGCAUGAAGUUUAAAUGGAAUGUUUAACAACUGGGUAACGAUCAGUGGAGGGUUGACUGAGCUCCCAGGACUCCAACUCCACCAGCCUCCCAGGUGACGUCCUGAGACAGUGCUUCUCAGACCCUCCUCCUCAGGCUCGGCGGGCAUGCCCUUGAGAUCAGGAUAAAGAAAACUUCCAGCACCUCACAAGAGUCCCUCUUGCUUCUUCCCAGUCUGCAUCCCAACCCAACGGGAGCGAGGUGUGGCAACUGCCUGAGAUCCACCCAAUGGAAUGUGAGCAGAAGUGAUUGGCCCCAUCCCCAGGCCUGGCCACAGCAUCCUCCCGCGCCUUCCUCUCCGUGUUUUCUCCCCUCUGCUGGCUCAGUGUUGAUUCUCGGGUGACCUGUGAAACCACCUGCUGAUGGUAGUAGUGCCUCUGCCAGCCUGGCUCCUUGCACGACCACACACAACAUGGCAUCUCCCCCGCCCCCUCCUCCCACUGCCCCAGCCCCACCUCACUGCCUGGAGCUUCCUUGCUCUGAGAGAGAAAUGAACUCCUAAGGAGUUGGUGUAUACAGCAGCCAGCCUACCCUAACUCAUAUACCCACCAUAGUGCCGUACCCUUCCCCGGCACAGAAAUCAGUCUUCAGGUGUCUCUGAACUAUACUGUUUAUGAAAGGCUUGAAAGUUUAUAAAGAUAAUUAUAAAAUUAACUCAUGCACAUGUAAAAGAAAUCAAGCAAUACAAAAGAAAAGAGUCCAAAAUCAAGGAAAAGUCUCCUGUCUCCCUUCUCACCCCAUUUCCAGCCCCACUUCCAUUAGGUAGCCUCUUUUUUUUUUGAGGAAGAUUAGCCCUGAGCUAACAUCUGCCGCCAGUCCUCCUCUUUUUGCUGAGGAAGACUGGCCCUGAGCUAACAUCCAUGCCCGUCUUCCUCCACUUUGUAUGUGGGACGCCUACCACAGCAUGGCUUGACAAGCGGUGCCAUGUCCACACCCGGGAUCCAAACCAGCGAACCCCGGGCUGCCGAAGCAGAAUGUGCACGCUUAACCGCUGUGCCACUGGGCCGGCCCAGGACAUGAAUAAGUCACGGAGAGGGUCUGCGUCACACCGGACGUGCGACUGUGAAUGGAAAGACCGAUGUCAGGCUUUCAGACUCGGAAAACAGCACCUGUGUACUCAUUUAUUCUUCAGUCGUGCCCAGCUUGGGGACCGAUUUCCAUGGAGAUUACCUAGAGCUUUGUGCAGAACAGCUGCAGUCCAGGCUUUGCUGUGGUGAUUGUCUUCUGCCGGUCCCUGUGUGCUGUCACGGCCGCAAUGCUGACGGAGCUGCUCAGGAAGCCAGAUGAGAGCUUGGUGACACUGCGAAGAUGCUGGUGGCAGAUGGAGUGGCAGAGCAGGCAGCAAGCAAGCUGGAAUAUGGAUGUUCUGUCUCGGGAAAGGUUUUGCACAGCAGAAAAGAAGCGGGGUCAGAAACAAGUGCCAGAGGCAGGCAUGCAACUGUGGGCCAAGUGACAUCCUGCAUGCCAGGAGGAGGACGGCAUCGGCCACGUUCCCACACAGACUGGGGACUCCGGGGAAGAAAGACACUCUCCAUUUUUUCACGUGCUUCACGUGGAAGCUUUCUGUGAGAGGAAAUCUGCGGUAUUGGGGGAACCCAUUCCCGUGUGUGCUGUGUACAACUGGAGGUAUUUUAAGGGGGUGGAAACUUACUGCCUACCCACUCUUUGUACAGAUGUGCUCCUGUUGAUUAAAGGAAUUGGCCCUAGCGUCCUUUUUGCUUUCCUUCAUUGAUCCACAUCCCUGAUUUUAAGUCAUUUUGUGAAAACAGAAUUCGCACUUAACGAAAAAACCAGGAAGGUUUUGGGAGCAGUUUCUCUUGAGCCAGUUAGAAAUUGUAAAAUCCUGUCUCUGCAUCAAUUCCACGACAUUAAAAGUACAGUCUGUACAAUGAAGGUCUCAGAAAAUGAUGCUAUUUAUUACCUUUUCA